CCGUGGCGACACCGCCAAACUUUACCUGCGGUUUCUGGCUCAUCUGCUAGUCUAUUUGCUCCGAUUUAGCCAUGGGAGUGUUCAAAAUUGAAUUUCGAGCGAAUGAAAAAAUCUUUACCUCUUUUGACUAUUAGAGGUAGCUCCGGCACGGUGGCGGGUGGCGGUCGGCUCCAUUCCCGGCAACUGGUUCUUCUUCUCCGGUGGGGGGUCUGGUGGCUUGGGUUAGAGUUUGGUGUGGGGUGAGGUAUUUAUAUCUGUCUCUUUUAAUUUAGAUCAUCCAUCAAUUUGAUCUGGACCGUCCGAUUGCGUUUAAAUAGGAAGUAAAUCUAAACCAUUCAUCGUGAUUUCAUCUGGACCAUACGAUCGCGUUUAAAGAAGGAAUAAAUCCAGACCGUCCACAUGCGCAAGAACAAAUCCGGACUGUCCGAUCGUAGGCACGCAGAUUGCAAGCGUGACCGCGUCAGAGUGCCUUACCACGCAGCGCACUCCAGUUCGUCGCGGCUGCUGAUUGGGCGUCGUAUGAGGCAAAUUUUUUCUAAAUUCUAUUU
rnacentral:lncRNA from 1 species